CCUACGGGAGGCAGCAGUGGGGAAUAUUGCACAAUGGGCGAAAGCCUGAUCCAGCAACGCCGCGUGAGUGAUGACGUCUUUCGGUGUGUAAAGCUCUUUUUGCAGGGACGAAGAAAGACGGUACCUGACUAAGAAGCCCCGGCUAACUACGUGCCAGCAGCCGCGGUACUACGCAGGGGGCACGCGUCAGCCGGAUUUACUGGGUGUAAAGGGAGCGUAGACGGUUGUGUAAGUCUGAAGUGAAAGCCCGUGGCUCAACCGCGGAACUGCUUUGGAAACUGUAUGGCUUGAGUACUGGAGAGGCAGGUGGAAUUCCUAGUGUAGCGGUGAAAUGCGUAGAUAUUAGGAAGAACACCGGUGGCGAAGGCAGCCUGCUGGACAGAAACUGACGUUGAGGCUCGAAAGCGUGGGGAGCAAACAGGAUUAGAUACCCGGGUAGUC
rnacentral:rRNA from 1 species